GGGGAGCAAACAGGAUUAGAUACCCUGGUAGUCCACGCCGUAAACGAUGUCGACUUGGAGGUUGUGCCCUUGAGGCGUGGCUUCCGGAGCUAACGCGUUAAGUCGACCGCCUGGGGAGUACGGCCGCAAGGUUAAAACUCAAAUGAAUUGACGGGGGCCCGCACAAGCGGUGGAGCAUGUGGUUUAAUUCGAUGCAACGCGAAGAACCUUACCUACUCUUGACAUCCAGAGAACUUUCCAGAGAUGGAUUGGUGCCUUCGGGAACUCUGAGACAGGUGCUGCAUGGCUGUCGUCAGCUCGUGUUGUGAAAUGUUGGGUUAAGUCCCGCAACGAGCGCAACCCUUAUCCUUUGUUGCCAGCGGUUAGGCCGGGAACUCAAAGGAGACUGCCAGUGAUAAACUGGAGGAAGGUGGGGAUGACGUCAAGUCAUCAUGGCCCUUACGAGUAGGGCUACACACGUGCUACAAUGGCGCAUACAAAGAGAAGCGACCUCGCGAGAGCAAGCGGACCUCAUAAAGUGCGUCGUAGUCCGGAUUGGAGUCUGCAACUCGACUCCAUGAAGUCGGAAUCGCUAGUAAUCGUAGAUCAGAAUGCUACGGUGAAUACGUUCCCGGGCCUUGUACACACCGCCCGUCACACCAUGGGAGUGGGUUGCAAAAGAAGUAGGUAGCUUAACCUU
rnacentral:rRNA from 1 species